UUUUCAAAGCAAAAUAAAUGACAGAAGUUGCUCAUUUUUUCAUAUUGUAAAGCUUGAUGUCUCUAUUUUAUAAAAUUGAAAUAAAAUUUGGGGGUCACCGGCCAUCCAAGAGAUUUUUUUUACCUCUGAAAAUGAGUGCAAAUAGGCUAAAUAUAGGGAAAACAGACAUAAAAUAUCUUUGAUUGAAUUUUCAGAGCAAAAUAAAUGACAGAAGUUGCUCAUUUUUUCAAACUGUAAAGCUUGAUGUCUCUAUUUUAUAAAAUUGAAAUAGAAUUUGG
rnacentral:lncRNA from 1 species